GAGUUUGAUCCUGGCUCAGGAUGAACGCUGGCGGCGUGCUUAACACAUGCAAGUCGAGCGGACAGAUGGGAGCUUGCUCCCUGAUGUUAGUGGCGGACGGGUGAGUAACACGUGGGUAACCUGCCUGUAAGACUGGGAUAACUCCGGGAAACCGGGGCUAAUACCGGAUGGUUGUUUGAACCGCAUGGUUCAAACAUAAAAGUCGCUUCGGGGUCAGGGAUGGGCUCGCGGCCUAUCAGCUUGUUGGUGAGGUAAUGGCUCACCAAGGCGUCGACGGGUAGCCGGCCUGAGAGGGUGACCGGCCACACUGGGACUGAGACACGGCCCAGACUCCUACGGGAGGCAGCAGUGGGGAAUAUUGCACAAUGGGCGAAGCCUGAUGCAGCAACGCCGCGUGAGGGAUGACGGCCUUCGGGUUGUAAACCUCUUUUAGCAGGGAAGAAGGCAAAGUGACGGUACCUGCAGAAAAAGCGCCGGCUAACUACGUGCCAGCAGCCGCGGUAAUACGUAGGGUGCAAGCGUUAUCCGGAAUUAUUGGGCGUAAAGAGCUCGUAGGCGGUUUGUCGCGUCUGCUGUGAAAACUGGAGGCUCAACCUCCAGCCUGCAGUGGGUACGGGCAGACUAGAGUGCGGUAGGGGAGAUUGGAAUUCCUGGUGUAGCGGUGGAAUGCGCAGAUAUCAGGAGGAACACCGAUGGCGAAGGCAGAUCUCUGGGCCGUAACUGACGCUGAGGAGCGAAAGGGUGGGGAGCAAACAGGCUUAGAUACCCUGGUAGUCCACCCCGUAAACGUUGGGAACUAGUUGUGGGGUCCAUUCCACGGAUUCCGUGACGCAGCUAACGCAUUAAGUUCCCCGCCUGGGGAGUACGGCCGCAAGGCUAAAACUCAAAGGAAUUGACGGGGACCCGCACAAGCGGCGGAGCAUGCGGAUUAAUUCGAUGCAACGCGAAGAACCUUACCAAGGCUUGACAUAUACGAGAACGGGCCAGAAAUGGUCAACUCUUUGGACACUCGUAAACAGGUGGUGCAUGGUUGUCGUCAGCUCGUGUCGUGAGAUGUUGGGUUAAGUCCCGCAACGAGCGCAACCCUCGUUCUAUGUUGCCAGCACGUAAUGGUGGGAACUCAUGGGAUACUGCCGGGGUCAACUCGGAGGAAGGUGGGGAUGACGUCAAAUCAUCAUGCCCCUUAUGUCUUGGGCUUCACGCAUGCUACAAUGGCCGGUACAAAGGGCUGCAAUACCGUGAGGUGGAGCGAAUCCCAAAAAGCCGGUCCCAGUUCGGAUUGAGGUCUGCAACUCGACCUCAUGAAGUCGGAGUCGCUAGUAAUCGCAGAUCAGCAACGCUGCGGUGAAUACGUUCCCGGGUCUUGUACACACCGCCCGUCAAGUCAUGAAAGUCGGUAACACCUGAAGCCGGUGGCCCAACCCUUGUGGAGGGAGCCG
rnacentral:rRNA from 1 species